GAUGAACGCUGGCGGCGUGCCUAAUACAUGCAAGUCGAGCGAACAGACGAGGAGCUUGCGCCUCUGACGUUAGCGGCGGACGGGUGAGUAACACGUGUAUAACCUACCUAUAAGACUGGGAUAACUUCGGGACACCGGAGCUAAUACCGGAUAAUAUAUUGAACCGCAUGGUUCAAUAGUGAAAGACGGUUUUGCUGUCACUUCUAGCUGGAUCCGCGCCGCAUUAGCUAGUUGGUAAGGUAACGGCUUACCAAGGCGACGAUGCGUAGCCGAGCUGAGAGGGUGAUCGGCCACACUGGAACUGAGACACGGUCCAGACGCCUACGGGAGGCAGCAGUAGGGAAUCUUCCGCAAUGGGCGAAAGCCUGACGGAGCAGCGCCGCGUGAGUGAUGAAGGUCUUCGGAUCGUAAAACUCUGUUAUUAGGGAAGAACAAAUGUGUAAGUAACUAUGCACGUCUUGACGGUACCUAAUCAGAAAGCCACGGCUAACUACGUG
rnacentral:rRNA from 1 species